rnacentral:lncRNA from 1 species
GUCUUUUACAAUCAUUUCAAAGUCAGAAGAAUGAUGAAGAAUUCUGUUGUAAGGAAUGCCAGCUACAGAAGGCUAAGAGAAGGAAAACCACAUCAGACACGGCGUACUUGGAGAAGCACCGAGGCAGGAACCCACAAACACGUACGCUUGGCUGCUAAGGCAAGAGCCAUCAAUGUCAUGGAAGAUGGAGUUCUUAUCGCCGUCCAGCUCACAAUCCUCAAACCAGGGGCCAGGCUUUCCAAAGAAGACGUUCAGAGAGACCUGGCAAUGGAGAAGACCAGAACCAUUACAGAAUGAGGCUCCUACAGGCUCACAUAGCACCUGCCACAGAGCCCCAGGGUUGUACUACAGCUUUCCUGCUGAGGCACGGAAGUUACACGUCAUGAUGUCAACCAUGGUAGCUGAUCUGAGCGCUACAAAGCGACACCCUUGAGCAAAAAACAUUUCUAAAGCCCAACUGGGCAGCAUUAAACUACAACUUCAUUUUUAUAUUAAUAUAUUUAUAUUCUUUUUUUCUUUCCACUAAAUGAUAAGCUGGGGGAGGAGUAAAGCAGAACCAGCCAUAGUGUUUGGAAAACUAUUAUUAUUAACUCCAUAUGCAGCCGGGCUUGGACGCACACACCUAUUAAUCCCAGCACUUGUCAGGCAGAGGCAGGCAAAUCUCUGUGAGUUCUAGGCCAGCCUGGUCUAGGAACCAAAUUCCAGGAUGGCCAGGGCUUACAUACACAAAAACCCUGUCUCAAAAAAAUGAAAUAAAUAAAUAAAACCCACAUGUAAGAUUCUGUGCGUUUCCCUGUAUGCACAUCAAACCUGAACUAAAUAAAAAUCUAUUCAAAC